GAUGAACGCUAGCUACAGGCUUAACACAUGCAAGUCGGGGGGCAGCAUAAAUCUAGCAAUAGAUUUGAUGGCGACCGGCGCACGGGUGAGUAACACGUAUCCAACCUACCUAUUACUCGGGUAUAGCCUUUCGAAAGAAAGAUUAAUCCCCGAUACGAUAUUGAGUUCGCAUGAAUUUGAUAUGAAAGAUUUAUUGGUAUUAGAUGGGGAUGCGUUCCAUUAGAUUGUUGGUGAGGUAACGGCUCACCAAGUCUUCGAUGGAUAGGGGUUCUGAGAGGAAGGUCCCCCAAACGGGAACGGAGACACGGUCCAGACUCCUACGGGAGGCAGCAGUGAGGAAUAUUGGUCAAUGGGAGAGAGCCUGAACCAGCCAAGUAGCGUGAGGGAUGACUGCCCUAUGGGUUGUAAACCUCUUUUAUAAGGGAAUAAAACGCUCCACGAGUGGAGCUUUGCAUGUACCUUUUGAAUAAGGAUCGGCUAACUCCGUGCCAGCCGCCGCCGUAA
rnacentral:rRNA from 1 species